rnacentral:rRNA from 1 species
AACGUAGGAGGCGAGCGUUAUCCGGAUUUACUGGGUGUAAAGCGCGUGCAGGCGGUUAGCUAAGUUGGGUGUGAAAGCUCCUGGCUCAACUGGGAGAGGUCGCUCAAGACUGGCUGACUCGAGGGUGUUAAGGGAAGGUGGAAUUCCGGGUGUAGUGGUGAAAUGCGUAGAUAUCCGGAGGAACACCAGUGGCGAAGGCGGCCUUCUGGAACAUCACUGACGCUCAGACGCGAAAGCUAGGGUAGCAAACGGG